ACACGUGAAAGGAGGUGGUCCCAAAAAGUGAUGUUUUUUUGGACUCGUGAGGUGAUCGCGCGCUAGCCGUCGCGCACCGAUUCGUUUAACGGACCGGCCGCGCAUCGCCCCUUACCGGGAAGAGGUCUCACGGCUUCUUGACGGCGGGCGAAUACAACGCGACCACCGGGGCCCACGGGUGUCGUGGAUUAGUCCACCGCGA
rnacentral:sRNA from 1 species